AGCAGUAUGGUGUAACGAUGCACACGGGAUUUUCAUGGGGGUUUGCGCACAUUUAAUCUCGAGGUCCUUGUUCGAACCAAGGUACUGCUC